rnacentral:rRNA from 1 species
AGCCCAGACUCCUACGGGAGGCAGCAGUGGGGGAUAUUGCACAAUGGGGGGAACCCUGAUGCAGCGACGCCGCGUGGGCGAUGGAGUGCUUCGGCAUGUAAAGCCCUAUCAGCAGGGAAGAAAAUGACGGUACCUGACUAAGAAGCCCCGGCUAAAUACGUGCCAGCAGCCGCGGUAAUACGUAUGGGGCAAGCGUUAUCCGGAUUUACUGGGUGUAAAGGGGGCGCAGACGGCGAUGCAAGCCAGGAGUGAAAGCCCGGGGCCCAACCCCGGGACUGCUCUUGGAACUGCGUGGCUGGAGUGCAGGAGGGGCAGGCGGAAUUCCUGGUGUAGCGGUGAAAUGCGUAGAUAUCAGGAGGAACACCGGUGGCGAAGGCGGCCUGCUGGACUGCAACUGACGUUGAGGCCCGAAAGCGUGGGGAGCAAACAGGAUUAGAUACCCGUGUA